UACAGGGGGUGCAAACGUUGCUCGGAAUCAUUGGGCGUAAAGGGCGCGCAGGUGGUUCUGUAUGUCUACCGUGAAAGCGUACGGCUCAACCGUAUUUUGUCGGUAGAAACUGCAGGACUUGAGGCUGGGAGGGGCUGGUGGAAUUCCCUGUGUAGCGGUGAAAUGCGUAGAGAUGGGGGAGAACACUCGUGGCGAAGGCGGCCAGCUAGACCAGUUCUGACACUGAGGCGCGACAGCGUGGGGAGCAAACAGG
rnacentral:rRNA from 1 species